UCAAACACCUAGGGAAGAAAUCCAAAGCUUGGCAGAUUGGAUAGGAAUCUAAAUGGGGUGGGGGCUCUUUGCAAACUCUGACCUGUGGACAGGCAGCUCAAGUUCAAUCUGUAAUCUGCAGUUCUUAACCUUGGAGCCUGUACAAAGGCAGCAGCAUAUAAAGCAAGCAGAGAGCACUGUUACACAGU